CAUAGACGAUAGCAAAAAUGCACUUCCCUUCAUCAACAUCAUCAUCACCUCUUCUUAUUACCAUUUUCUGCUUGCUCUUGGUUCUAAUCUCCUCGUUCCUUCCAAGGGCCCCGGCUCAAAAAGGAAAUAUGAAACAACCUAUAAAUCCGCUCCCAAGCCAUUCUCCUCCUGAUAGAGGACCUUAGAUUGCAGGCUUCGUACCGGCAAAGCCUUGAUCAGACGGCAUGUUGGUUGCUCUAGAUGUCACCAAACAAAGAAGAACUCUGUCACUUGUGAUCGUGAUAUAUAUGUAAUAUGUCAUAAUAAUCUUGGUAUGUACUUGGCAUAGCAGAAUUAUUUUAGUUCCCAAUAUUCCGCACAUCAUCUUCCAGACAUUCUCAUGUAAAAUAUAAAUAGAUAUGUUUCAUUCUUUACU